rnacentral:rRNA from 1 species
GAUGAACGCUGGCGGCGUGCCUAAUACAUGCCAGUCGAGCGAACAGACGAGGAGCUUGCUCCUCUGACGUUAGCGGCGGACGGGUGAGUAACACGUGGAUAACCUACCUAUAAGACUGGGAUAACUUCGGGAAACCGGAGCUAAUACCGGAUAAUAUAUUGAACCGCAUGGUUCAAUAGUGAAAGACGGUUUUGCUGUCACUUAUAGAUGGAUCCGCGCCGCAUUAGCUAGUUGGUAAGGUAACGGCUUACCAAGGCAACGAUGCGUAGCCGACCUGAGAGAGGGAUAGGCCACACUGGAGCUGAGACGGGGUCAAGAGUACUAAGGGAGGCAGCAGUAGGGAAUCUUACGCAAUGGGCGGAAGCAUGACGGAGCAAGGCCGCGUGAGUGAUGAAGGUCUUCGGAUCGUAAAAAUCUGUUAUGAGGGAAGAACAAAUGUGUAAGUAACUAUGCACGUAGUGACGGUACCUAAUCAGAAAGCCACGGCUAACUACGUG